ensembl:snoRNA SNORD24 Small nucleolar RNA SNORD24
CGCCGGGGUCGUGAAAGAAUAUUUGCUAUCUGAGUGAUGGUGAGGACUGUCCUGACCACCAAGAUCGCUGAUGUACGAGCCGGGCG